rnacentral:rRNA from 1 species
AGGGAUUGCCUCAGUAACGGCGAGUGAAGCGGCAACAGCUCAAAUUUGAAAUCUGGCCCCAGGCCCGAGUUGUAAUUUGCAGAGGAUGCUUUUGGCGCGGUGCCUUCCGAGUUCCCUGGAACGGGACGCCAUAGAGGGUGAGAGCCCCGUCUGGUUGGACACCAAGCCUUUGUAAAGCUCCUUCGACGAGUCGAGUAGUUUGGGAAUGCUGCUCUAAAUGGGAGGUACAUGUCUUCUAAAGCUAAAUACCGGCCAGAGACCGAUAGCGCACAAGUAGAGUGAUCGAAAGAUGAAAAGCACUUUGGAAAGAGAGUUAAACAGCACGUGAAAUUGUUAAAAGGGAAGCGUUUAUGACCAGACGUGGGCCGGUUAAUCAUCCAGCGUUCUCGCUGGUGCACUUUGCCGGUCCAGGCCAGCAUCAGUUCGCUGCGGGGGAUAAAGGCUUUGGGAAUGUAGCUCCUCGGAGUGUUAUAGCCCUCUGCGUAAUACCCUGCGGCGGACUGAGGUUCGCGCUCUGCAAGGAUGCUGGCGUAAUGGUCAUCAACGACCCGUCUUGAAACACGGACCAAGGAGUCGUCUUCGUAUGCGAGUGUUCGGGUGUAAAACCCCUACGCGAAAUGAAAGUGAACGCAGGUGAGAGCUUCGGCGCAUCAUCGACCGAUCCUGAUGUUCUCGGAUGGAUUUGAGUAAGAGCAUACGGGGCCGGACCCGAAAGAAGGUGAACUAUGCCUGUAUAGGGUGAAGCCAGAGGAAACUCUGGUGGAGGCUCGCAGCGGUUCUGACGUGCAAAUCGAUCGUCAAAUAUGGGCAUGGGGGCGAAAGACNNAUCG